CAGUAGCCGCGGGAAUACGGAGGGUGCAAGCGUUAUCCGGAUUUAUUGGGUUUAAAGGGUCCGUAGGCGGAUCUGUAAGUCAGUGGUGAAAUCUCACAGCUUAACUGUGAAACUGCCAUUGAUACUGCAGGUCUUGAGUAAAUUUGAAGUGGCUGGAAUAAGUAGUGUAGCGGUGAAAUGCAUAGAUAUUACUUAAAACACCAAUUGCGAAGGCAGGUCACUAAGAUUUAACUGACGCUGAUGGACGAAAGCGUGGGGAGCGAACAGGAUUAGAUACCCCGGUAGUCCCUGUCUCUUAUAC
rnacentral:rRNA from 1 species